ensembl:processed_transcript Gm14636 predicted gene 14636
CCACUCUCCACUCUCCCGCUGGCUACUGCUCAUCAGGAGCAAGAUGGGGGUGGGGACUGUCCAAUGAUUCCUCUGUGUGAUAGAUGACCAAGUGGCUGCAGUCGUGGGGGUCUACACAGCAGUGCAAGAUUGUUUGUAGCUGAUUUGAUCAAACUCUGGCUUCCUGAACUGGAAUGAAAUGCAGAUAACUCGUUAGCAAACUUUUGUGGGAAAAAAGUGCCUUGUGCGAUCAGAACAAAGCCGUUUUAUAAUCAGAUUUACCAAGCUGAGAAGAGGGAGUUUCAGCAAAUGGAAGCUUCAGCUUUCUGUCACCAGGAAACACUGCGUUAUCCAGAAUCGGUAAGUGAAAAGUGGCAUUGUCCCUAAUAGAUAUCAUAUGGUGUGUGGGAGAAUUGCAAAAUAUAUAUAUAUAUAUAGGAUUUUAAAAGCAGGCAGCCCCACCAUAUAACAUAAAAGCUGAGACGUUACCAGGUAAUUAACAAAAUGAGAUGUGAGUUACUAGUUUAGCCAAACAUAUGUAAUAGAACUAGAUCUUACUUUUUGAACAUGGUUUCCUUUUCAGUGGGGCAAAGCAUGAAAUCCAAAUGGGCUGUUUGCUUGAGUUGCUACACUAACUUUCCAUGGAUAGAGAUUUGCAUUCAGUCUGAGUAGCGAGUCGAAAUGUGAAGAAAUACUUUCAGAAUUAGUCGGUUCCUUUGCUUCCCCAUUGUGUCAGAUUUUAUCUAGAUCUUUACAAAAUGAAAGUAGAAGCAGUGUACCAAAAAAAUCUGAUUGUGAAUGGCAGAUUAUGGUGGUCAUAGAAUUUGUUUUGUAUUCAUGUCAUGAUUUUAAGAUUGUUCUGUUUGAUUACAGUUCUGUUCUUGUUUUGAUAAAGCAAAAGGGUGCUGAUUUCCAUACAGUUCAUAACUUUUUUAAGAUGGUAAUGAGCAACUAACUCUUAAUGGUGUGCUACCCGUGUGUCUGCCUGUCUUUCUUUCUCUGAAACCUGAAAUUCAGUUUUCUUGUUUUGAAUCUGAGCUGCUCCUAUUCCAGAAAAAGACAGUAAAGCUGUGACUAUCUGUGUUCCAAAAGACACCGAGAUAGCAGUUUUAUAUUAGUGUGAAUGUUUGACUUCUCUGAAAUAUGAUUGCAUAAAGGUUGUGCCCAGCAAGCAUAUUAGGAUAGUAGGUGGCUGCUUGAUUUUUGUCUGUUUCUUUUUGGUCAGUAGAACUAAUCAUGUGAUAUAUACUUACAAAGAGUUAGAUGGAAAUAUUUUAAGUGUCAGUAAUUAUAUAGGUAUUCUGGGCAAUCUCCAUUUAUGAGUAUAAACAUGCAAUUAUGACAUGAACAGAAUUAGGCUUUGAGUUAUAAAGGAUGUAAUAUUAUUUAUUUUGCUUUAAGUAGCCCCAACUAAAUUAAAAGUUAAAUGUACAUUCUUGACUUCUGGCUCCCACUCUGUUCCUUUUGGAAUCAUAAAAUUUCCAGCUUAAAAAAGGAACACCAUAGCAGGAUAACAAAGCUGCAGGUUUCUGUUAGUUGAGUGGGCUGCAGAUGGGAAGAGAAAGAUGAGUAUGUUGGAAUCUGUAAAUUGUGCCCCCUUAACGCACACGCUUUAAGGGUUUGAAGAUCAUUUUUCUUAGGCUAAUAGCUCCCAAGACUUCAGUUUCAAUGAAAAGACAAGCAUGGCUGUGACAUGCAGAUCUAGCUGCAAAUUUGGGCGAAUGUCACAUGUCAUUUGGCUUAAUUAAGGUGUGCCCUCCUGACACACAUAAAUUUAUAGGUUUGAGAAGGAGACAGAAAAAUUUUGAGAAAGCAUGAUAGUAAUUUUAGCUGAUUUUUAUCCUGCUGUUAGUGUAUCUUCAGUAACUAAUAAUUAUUUUCACCUCUGUAUUUCAUCUAAAUGCUUGGAUAAAAAACACGGUAAUUUAAUAUUGAGCUAAAUACAUGCAGGAUAGGAAAAAGACUAUAUAAAAAUUUCAGAUGUUCUUCAACAUUUAGAAGCCACUGCCUUGAGUGAUUAAAAAUAGGAUAUAAUAUAAAUUGAAAUAGUAAAUGCUAAAAAGUGAGUCCCAGAAAAACUUCAUCUUUAAAAUUUAGUUUGUCAUUCUUUGUUCUGAGUUUCUUAUUUUUAAAUGUACAUCUAAAAGCAUUGCUAUGAAUUAUCUCCCAGAGUUACUAAAGGCAUUGCUAUUUUGGCAUGUUUGGUCUUUGUGGAUUUUCAAAACAACAAAGUGAAAGGAAGCCAUUUGAGAGACAUAUCUCAAUCAUUUCUACCCAGUAUUUGAUAAGUGUACUGUACACCUUCAAAAUUUGAUGUGUGUGUGUGUGUGUGUGUGUGUGUGUGUGUGUGUGUGUGUGUGUAGGUGUGUGUCUAAGCUUACUUUGAAGGUGGGUCUUAAAUCAACAACAGCUAUUUGUUAGAACCCAGAUAAGACUUGGAAUGUAGUUCUCUGGCAACCGAGUAGUUAGGCAUUGAAAUGUAGCUUUAAGGAUUCAGUUCAUAAAUGGCAUUCAGAUCUCCUGCUACAGUGUCAUUGAGUAGAAGGAUAACAAGAAUGGGUAAACCAUGAAGAAUUAUAAUGAUCUCCAUUUUUCAGGUCUUCUUGACUUGCUUUUGUAUACAGGAUCACCAUGGAAGUGGGAAGCAUAGGCCUUGAAGGAAGCCAUACUUUAGUACAAAAUUAGUAUGUGAAAAAUUGGGAGAGAUAAGUACCAACAUAUGGAGUAAUGAGUAAACGUCAGCUCAGCUUCCACAAGGCUCUGCACACCGUUUAUCCGGGGCUGACCAGCCAUGAGAAGAACAUCUUGAACCAAUUAUUGUAGGCUCUUGAAGAGCUGCAAAUAUUUCCUUCAAAUGCAAUGUGGAGAGAAUUCCUUUGGUAGUAGCAGAAUGGCUUACCAGUUUGCUAUAGCAUUUAUUUCUAUCCCCGCUCCCCCUAAGAACAACUACAGAGGCUUCGGUGUUCUUAUGAGACACAUGCUUUCCAAACAACUGUUCAUUUGCCAUUUCCUAGUUUUGUCUUCUUUUUCCUAUGGAAUAAAUAGGAGUGUAUUAAGCAGUCAUAAGCCCUAAGCAUUUUAUCUUACAUUCAAAAAUUACUUUUAACAUUCUUUAAAAAGAGACUAAGAGGUGUUUAUGGAAUGAAUUGGCAGGCUGAUAACCUAGGAAACACCGUAUCAGAGCAAGAAAAUGUUUAGACUAAUAUGUACCAUAGAUUAAGUAUGCACGCUUGCAUUUUCCAUGCCUGAAGGUAUUUUCUAUUUCACAAUGGUUUUAGCAAUUUAUUUUGUCACUUGUACCUUGAGAAUUAGUGAAAAAAAGAUUUCAGUUGAAGUUAUUCCUUACUUCAUAAGUAGAAACCUGGCAAUUCUUCUAAAGUCCAAAUGAUUCUGAAAAGUUAGAAAAAUGUUCAUGUCACAAAAUGAUGGAAAGUUCUGACCUGAGCUUAAAUGAGUCCACUUGCAGUCUUUAUUUAGCUCACUAAGCCUAUACAUUUUAUCAGAGAAAUAUUCAUGUACUUGAUUCUGGAAUACAGCACCAACUCUCCCUAGAGUUAUGUAUGUAUGUAUGUAUGUAUGUAUGUAUGUAUGUAUAUAUGUAUGUAUGUAUAUUAAAUAAUCACCCUCCUUAUAAACAUUUAUAAUAGCAUGAGUGUUGGAGUGCCAGAUAAGGCUUUUUGACUCUUGAAUUAACAUUCAUUGAACUCAUGAUAUGUGUUAGAUAUUUUUCUAAAUAUAUCCCUGACAUCUAUUUCAGUGCCAACCAAUUCCUGAUAGUUACCCAGGACAUAGGUCUUAAUAUAUAAUGCUUUACAUGUACUAACUGUAAACCCAGUAUGAUUGUUACUUCUUUUUACUGUAGAGAAAGCAGUACACAGAGAAGUGAAACUAAUUGCCCAAAAUGACAUAGGAAGGAAAUAAUGGAGCCAGGAUUUGCAAGCACUGAAACUAGGCUGAGUCAAAGGGGUGUGUCAACUGCUUUCUGCAUUCCUGCUUACCCUAUGCCUAGUGUCAUGCGAAGGUGAUAGUGAUAUCACCACUCUGGUCAUUAACAGGGUCCAUUCCUCCUCUGUGUGAAAUGUUUGUUCACAGGUUUGUGGUGGAAUGGACUAUGGGAGUUUCAGGGAUCCAAGCUCCUUCUUGAUGAGUCAACCUGGCUUUAUUAAUUGAGAAAAAUUAAGACAAAAGAAAUAACAUUUUGUUUUCAACUCCAAAGUAAUUUUUGUAUACAAUUACAAAAAGUCCUUUCAUAUUUAUUUUCUGGAACUUUAUACCCAGACAGGUCUAUGCUGUUAAGGGAGAAAGGGACACCUUAGAGGGAGUGACACUUUGACACAGGAGUCAUGCUGGGCACAGUAAGUGCCUUUGGGAAACCAGGCAGCCCAGGAAAUUGAACUGCAUUAUUGAAUCUAGAAAAGGAGACUUCUAACCAUGCUUCUCAAAAAAAGAAAAGAAAAGAUGUAUAAGAUGGCUCUCUUGUCCCUAUGUUUCUAAUCAUUAAAAAUAAGUUCUUUCUAAACUUCCCAGUUUAUGUCCCUGAUCCUCCUUCCCUGCUUAGUGAUUCAGCAGUUACUUCCUGUUGGCAUGUUGUGCAGUUUAUGUCCUUGCUUGCCAUUUUAGUCAACCACUUCUGUUAUUGUUGGCCUUGAACACACUUAAAGAUUUCUGGAUCUAUAUUUUGAUCUCUGUCUUCAACUUAAUUUCCUUAUGUUCAUUUCAAAAUGCUAUUGACAAGAAAAAAUGUUGGUGACUAUUUUUUUUUUUACUGUUACAUACUUUUUUUUUUUGUAGUAAUAGUUUUGAAAACUUAUUUCUCCUAAACAAACUGUUUAGGUUACAUGGUCGAAAUUUGGAGGAUAGGUGUUUUUAUUCAGAUGAAAAGACCUAACCAGUUUUGAAUGUAGUUACUGUAUAUAUCAUUUAUUCCAUUUAUUUUCUUGAUAUCAGGAAGAAUAAGAGUUAAAGAGGGUAUGCAAAGUAAUUCCAUUUUGUUAACUACUUUCAAAGAUGAGUAGCUGAAUUAGAACAUAUAUUUCAUCUAAAAUGUCUUAUACUUAUCUAGUAAACUACCCUGAUUUUUUUG